GUUGAACGCUGGCGGCAGGCCUAACACAUGCAAGUCGAGCGGAGCGGCGGACGGGUGAGUAAUGCCUAGGAAUCUGCCUGGUAGUGGGGGAUAACGACCGGAAAAGGGCGCUAAUACUGCAUACUAUCAGAUGAGCCUAGGUCGGAUUAGCUAGUUGGGGGGGUAAAGGCCUAGCAAGGCGACGAUCCGUAACUGGUCUGAGAGGAUGAUCAGUCACACUGGAACUGAGACACGGUCCAGACUCCUACGGGAGGCAGCAGUGGGGAAUAUGGGACAAGGGGCGAAAGUCUGAUCCAGCCAUGCCGCGUGUGUGAAGAAGGUCUUCGGAGUGUAAAGCACGUUAAGUUGGGAGGCGUUACCAGCAGAAGAAGCACCGGCUAACUUCGUGCCAGCAGCCGCGGUAAUUC
rnacentral:rRNA from 1 species